AUAUCCGUUGAAACACCGGUUUCCGUAUGAUCACCGAUGUUAAGCAACACCGAGCCUAGUCAGUACCUACAUGGGUGACCGUUUGGGCAUACU